rnacentral:misc_RNA from 1 species
UCCCAGUUAAACCUGGGCAGUUCUGUGAGACACUUGUAACUCACCGUAGGGGUUGCGCUCGUUUUCACACUUAAGUGAACACCUCACGGCACGAGCUGACGACAACCGUGCAGCACCUGUGUAGCACCCUCGAAGGCUAUACCAUCUCUGGUAUAUGCAGCUACAUGUCAAGCCCUGGUAAGGUUCCCCGCUUACCGUCGAAUUAAACCACAUGCUCCACCGCUUGUGCGGGUCCCCGUCAAUUCCUUUGAGUUUUAGCCUUGCGGCCGUACUCCCCAGGCGGCACAUUUAACGCGUUAGCUUUGGUACUAAAGAGGGUCGAUACUCUCUAGCACCGAAUGUGCAUCGUUUACAGCGUGGACUAAA